AUUAGAUGCGGCGUGCGGCGGCGAAUGUGAACACGGAGCGGAAGAAUAGAGAACGAUCGAAAAAUCGCAAUCUUUUGGGCAAUCCCGCUUCAUCCGCGUCGAGCAUUAUCCAUCUCCAUCUAAAUUUACAUUUUGGGCUUCUAGAGAAGAAGAAGAGUCGGAUAAAUUAGAUUUUUAUUCGCGUUGAUUGGCAGAAAAGCGGGAAAAGCGUGCACGAUGAGCUUGCUAAUUCAAAUGGCUCUGCCAGCGCUCGUCCUGGUCCUGUUUGCGGCCCCUGGAAUUGGCCAUGAGCUGCAGCUAGGGGAUCAGCUGGCGUUGCCGGGUGGCGGCGCAGACUUGAAGCUGUCCAACAGCGGCGGCACAGAUGAAAACCUGAAUGAGGUGCAGGAGCAGAAGGUUGGUAAUUAGCAACAAUUUCAAAUAUUCUUAUUUACAAAUCCUGAAACGACAGCAACUGAGAGUCUCAACUUUGGAAAUGAAGCAACUUUUGAGACCGAGGCAUCAAAACCUGAAGUCAAAAGUACCUCAGACGUGGUGAAGAAAAACCAGAAACAAUAUGCACUGGAAUUAAGCAUUUUCAUUGUCUUUACAUGGGCAUUCUCAAUCUGCAUAGUUCUGCUGUUUUUGCUGUUGUCUGACUCUGAACCUGCCCAAACCAAGGAAGCAGUCUAAUCGAGGAAUCUGCUCCCUGACGGCGCGUGUGCUGGCACUUUGACCUUUGUAUUGACUAUAUUACAUCGCAUCGUUGUUAGAUCAAGAAGCUUGACCAGAUUUAUUAUUAGAAUUAAUUGAAAAUUAAUAACUAUCUCUUAGUACAAUUAAAAAUUGUAAUAUUUAUUAUUAUGAGAACAUCUGACCAUGCAUAAAAUUAAUGUAUCCAUGAAUUAGGUGAAGGUAAAUAAUGCUAUUUGGAGGCAGAACCUACUG